rnacentral:sRNA from 1 species
CGUGCGCACGCGCCGAAUCCCGUAAGGGAACCGGGGAACCACCACCUUGGGGUGAAUCACGCGGACACCGUCGCGGACUCAGUGAGUCCGGGGGGCGGUAUACGCGCGUAGGAGACCUUCCUGCUCCGAACCCGUCAGCUAACCCGGUAGGCGGAGGAAGGAAAGGAGCA